CAAUGAACUUUCACGUUAUGUCGGGGGCCACAACUGGCCCGCGGGCCGCGAGUUUCAGACCCCUGAUGUAACACAUACAUUUUGUUCAUAUUAAUGUGUACAAUGUCAACACAUUAUUAUCGAGUACUGAGAUAAUGGAGAAGAAUGCCUUUAUUUGUCAUAUGUACAUACAGUAUACAGGUGUACAGUACGAAGAAAUUCUUUUUUUCCACAUAUCCCAGCUCUUUUGGAAGCUGAGGUCAGAGCACAAGCUCAGAAUAUAAUUCUGUACAUUUCUUUUAGUACACAAAAAAGUAUCCUGUAACAGUUCUGCCGAACACAUGCGGACGAAACACCUCAGAGAUCAUUUAACAUCAGAACCUGAGAAGAAAUUCCUUCUGGUACCUGGUACCUGAAAAAGACCCAUGUGAAGAACACUAGAGAGUAGGUGGACAGUUCCUGUGAGCUAUAGAUUGUGAGCUGUGUUGUUGGUGAGGAAGAAGGGGAGGAUGUAGAUGAGGUCGAGG